rnacentral:sRNA from 2 species
UGAAAUGUUUUCUAGGGUUCCGCAGCAUAACUGUUGGUCUGGUCCGAGAGAAAACUCACAGCGAUGCUGUGUCACGGAAGGAUAAAAGCCUGGGAGAA